GCCCACAUGGCUCAGUUGGUUGAGUAUUGUCCCAUGAACCAGAGGCCACAGGUUCAAUUCCUGGUCAGGGCA
rnacentral:tRNA from 1 species